GGCUUGGUAAACUUAAAAAUGAAAUGUGCUUUGAAAAUGCUAUAAGCCAUAAGCUAUAAGAGCCACACAAUUUACUUAUUUCCGAUAAAAAUCAAAACCGAAGCAAAAUAGACCACAUAAUUCUGAUCUUCUUCAUCUCUAGGUAUAUGGUUUAUGAUAUUACAAAACAUAAUUAACAGCAAAAAUUUAGACAAAUAUUUCUUUAACUCCAACACAAAAGUACACAUAGCAUUAGGUUAUUCCUAAGAUUUCUGGGCUUCUGGUCCUAAAAUCCCAUUCACUACUGACGUAGCGACAAGAACUCCGACGAACUCAGCCGCCACGACGGCUCCAGCUUGUGUCAAUCCAUUAAAGCUAACCGCCGUCACGAUUUCCUUCUCUGCCGUCUCUACACCUCUCUCCGCCGCUUCUAAUCCUUUCUCCGCCGCAUCAACGCCUUUCUCCGCCGUCUCAAAGCCUUCUUUCACGAUCUCCACCGCUUCUUCUUCUGCUUUCUUCAGUUUCUUUCUUAUACCAAAUAACGGAAUAUUCUCCGCCAUUGAUGCAGGCUGAAGUCCCGUCACUACCGUCGCUGCCGUCAACGAAAAUAACAGAUUCCUGCGAGAGGCGCCGGUCAGCGAGAACGAAGAAAGCGCGGGUUUGUUAGAAUGCGCCGCUCGUGGGCUAACAUGCGCGGUUCUUGCGCAACGCGCCUGAAGAGCUCCACUGCCGCCGCUGAGUAAAGAAAGCGAAACAGUCGAAGCCAUUUUUUAGAUGAUCUCACAAGAAACGAAAAAAGCUCUCAGAUGUGAAAUAGAAAAUACGAAAAGUUUUGAUAAUAUAUAAGAUAACAAAAUAAUUUCAUUGUCAAUUGACGUGACACGUCAUCUCCAUUGAGAUUCUUUGAUAAAUGGGUAUAAAAAAGAUUAUAAUUAAAGAAUAAUAAAACAUUUUGUACGUUAAAUCCAAUUUAUUUUAUUUAUUUUCAAUCCACUUUCAGCCCCAAAACUCAGCAAAAUAGAUUUUUUCUGAAUG